AAUAGAUACCCGGGUAGUCCACGCCGUAAACGAUGAGUGCUAAGUGUUAGAGGGUUUCCGCCCUUUAGUGCUGCAGCUAACGCAUUAAGCACUCCGCCUGGGGAGUACGGCCGCAAGGCUGAAACUCAAAGGAAUUGACGGGGGCCCGCACAAGCGGUGGAGCAUGUGGUUUAAUUCGAAGCAACGCGAAGAACCUUACCAGGUCUUGACAUCCUCUGACACUCCUAGAGAUAGGACGUUCCCCUUCGGGGGACAGAGUGACAGGUGGUGCAUGGUUGUCGUCAGCUCGUGUCGUGAGAUGUUGGGUUAAGUCCCGCAACGAGCGCAACCCUUGUUCUUAGUUGCCAGCAUUCAGUUGGGCACUCUAAGGAGACUGCCGGUGACAAACCGGAGGAAGGUGGGGAUGACGUCAAAUCAUCAUGCCCCUUAUGACCUGGGCUACACACGUGCUACAAUGGAUGGUACAAAGGGCUGCAAGACCGCGAGGUUUAGCCAAUCCCAUAAAACCAUUCUCAGUUCGGAUUGUAGGCUGCAAC
rnacentral:rRNA from 1 species